AUUUUGUUUAAAAUAGAUAUAUAGUAGAUAUAACAGAGUGAACACUUGAUUUGUAGCAUGUGACAGAGGGUUGUAUGGAUAUGAAUGCAAUGAAACAUGUGGACACUGUCGUGACGUAUACCAGUGUUCCAAUAUUAAUGGAACAUGUGCUUAGGCUGUUUGUGUUUAUUACAUCAUGUGUCAAUGGUUUGUUUACAAAUCCGUGUUAACAUCGUUCAUCUGUGUGGGUUGAUCUAGGUUGUCUACUGCAGCCUUACACGUUGAUAUUCAGAAUAUACCGAACGUUUUAUUAUUUCAAAUGUCUCAAUGACCUAGAAUAGUGUUUAUUUCAAUACAUUUGUGAAACACUGGACGAUAUUGAGUUUGUUGACUUUGUGUACGGAGUCAUCAAGUAUGCAUAAACCACUCGGGGACAAUACGCCCAGUGUAUCAUGGGUAAGUAAUUUUGUAAAUAAUGCAUAUUAUCAUAAAAUAUAAUACGUUAAUAUUCAGUUGAUACCAGAAUGCUAAGAAUUUCUUUUCUAAAAAAAAUCUGAAUGACCUCGAUUAGUUUUCAUUUUAAUACAUUUGUGCAAAACUGCACGUUAUCAAGUUUAUUUAUAGAGUUACCAGGUACAUAUAAACCAGACGGAGAUAAUACACCCAGUGUAUCGUAGCCAAUAUUAAAGCACGAAAGGUAUACCUUUCUGUGGGACAUCCUCCAUCAGAUAUACCCUCAGCAGUAUGGUUAAGCGAGCCUCACCAAUGACGAGAGUACACGUGAACUUUGAGACCACUGAAAUCUUUGUAUGACAUUGUAAUACAAAUCAGCAGCCGGACAGGGAAAUAAUAUUCUGUUGUUGUUUUUUUUAAUCAUUGCUGUAAUCUAUGUGCUUAUACUAAAAUAGAAGUUUCCCUUUGAAUACAAUGAUGGUGAAACUAUCGGUUAUUAAGGUUUUCCGCUCUCAGCGGAAAACCUUACUAUUAUUCUGAAAAAUUUUC
rnacentral:sRNA from 1 species